rnacentral:rRNA from 1 species
GACGAACCGUGCGAACGUUGUUCGGAAUCACUGGGCUUAAAGGGCGCGUAGGCGGUUGAUCAAGUCUGGGGUGAAAUCUUUCGGCUUAACCGGAAAAGUGCCUUGGAUACUGAUCAGCUGGAGGGAGGUAGGGGCAGCUGGAACUUCCGGUGGAGCGGUGAAAUGCGUUGAUAUCGGAAGGAACGCCGGUGGCGAAAGCGAGCUGCUGGACCUUUUCUGACGCUGAUGCGCGAAAGCUAGGGGAGCAAACGGGG